GCUACGGCUUGAGUAUUCAAAUUUGUAUUGAGAAAAGGCAACUAUAUCCUGUCUUUAUUUGCCUCUCUAUCGCUCGAAUAUGCAAUACGCAUGCACUCUUCGUCAAAAUCGGUUUCAAACUUUUUCGACUGAGUACGCGCAAUAAACGCCUAGUAGUAGUAUUUAAAUGUUUACCGUAUUCAUUUAAAGCAUCGUAGGACAAUGCCGCUAUGUAAACUGUAAGGUGGGUCUUAAAUUAGUGUGAGUUAUUUUGGCACCGGACUCAACCUUCACGUUACAAUAUUUAAAGUAUUGCGCUGUCAUAGUAACGAAAAUGAUAAACACGUCAAUCGGAGUAAACAAGUAACUAAAUGAUGCAAACAAGAAAAUAUUGCAAAAUAGGUACAUAUAUACGUACCGAUAAUUAUUUUGUGUUAAAAAUAUGAGGCAAAUUAUACUGCCCGAUUAUACGGACUACAUAUUAAAAACGAUUAUCUUGGAAACAGUCAAUAGAUGUCGAACCACCAGCAAAGUUUUUGAAGAGGUGUAGUUCCUGGUACCAACUGGAAACUGAAACUAAUAAUCUACACUCAAGAAAAUGAAAUAUAGUCACAGAAAACUUUAAUGUUUUAUUUUAUUAAAGAAAAACGUAAAAAAAAUGUGUAAACAGAAA